rnacentral:rRNA from 1 species
UACGUAGGGUGCAAGCGUUGUCCGGAAUUAUUGGGCGUAAAGGGCUCGUAGGCGGUUUGUCGCGUCGGGAGUGAAAACCCAGGGCUUAACCCUGGGCUGGCUUUCGAUACGGGCAGACUAGAGGUAUGCAGGGGAGAACGGAAUUCCUGGUGUAGCGGUGAAAUGCGCAGAUAUCAGGAGGAACACCGGUGGCGAAGGCGGUUCUCUGGGCAUUACCUGACGCUGAGGAGCGAAAGUGUGGGGAGCGAACAGG